rnacentral:rRNA from 1 species
GUACCACUUAUUACUGCGAUGGAGAGACGGAGUAGUGAACGAUCUGCGCACUGACGGAAUAGUGCGUUAAAGGGUGUAGGUGUUGAUUGUACAGGAAAAUCCGUACAUGAACCGAACCUGAUAGUACUCUGAGCCUUUUAGGCAAGGAGAUAAUGAUCUUAAUCAGACUUCCAAGAAAAUCUUCUAAGCUUCAGGUAGUAAGUGCUCGUACCAUAAACCGACACAGGUAGUCAAGGAGAGUAUCCUAAGGCGCUCGAGUGAAUCAUGGUUAAGGAACUAGGCAAAAUGGUCUCGUAACUUCGGGAGAAGAGACGCUGGCAGCAAUGUCAGCCGCAGUGAAUAGGCCCAGGCAACUGUUUAUCAAAAACACAGGACUCUGCGAAAUCGAAAGAUGAAGUAUAGGGUCUGACACCUGCCCGGUGCUGGAAGGUUAAAAGGAGAUGUCAUCUUCGGAGAAGCAUUGAAUUGAAGCCCCAGUAAACGGCGGCCGUAACAAUAACGGUCCUAAGGUAGCGAAAUUCCUUGUCGGGUAAGUUCCGACCUGCACGAAUGGUGUAAUGAUCUGGGUACUGUCUCAACCAUGAGCUCGGUGAAAUUGUAGUAUCGGUGAAGAUGCCGAUUACCCGCAGUGGGACGGAAAGACCCCGUGCACCUUUACUAUAGCUUCACAUUGCUAUUGGGUAAUUCAUGUGUAGGAUAGGUGGGAGACGUUGAUCUGGCUUCGCUAGGAGUUAGUUAGUCGUCCUUGAAAUACCACCCUUGGAUUACUUGAUAUCUAAUCCCGUUUUGACGGGAGACAUUGUGUGGUGGGUAGUUUGACUGGGGUGGUCGCCUCCAAAAGAGUAACGGAGGCUUCUAAAGGUACCCUCAGCACGCUUGGUAACCGUGCGUAGAGUGUAAUGGCAUAAGGGUGCUUGACUGAGAGACCGACAAGUCGAUCAGGUACGAAAGUAGAGCAUAGUGAUCCGGUGGUUCCGUAUGGAAGGGCCAUCGCUCAAAGGAUAAAAGGUACGCCGGGAUAACAGGCUGAUCACUCCCAAGAGCUCAUAUCGACGGAGUGGUUUGGCACCUCGAUGUCGGCUCGUCACAUCCUGGGGCUGGAGAAGGUCCCAAGGGUUGGGCUGUUCGCCCAUUAAAGUGGCACGCGAGCUGGGUUCAGAACGUCGUGAGACAGUUCGGUCCCUAUCUACUGUGGGCGUUAGAUAUUUGAGAGGACCUCCCUCUAGUACGAGAGGACCGGGGGGGACAUACCUCUGGUGUACCUGUUGUGGCGCCAGCUGCAUUGCAGGGUAGCUAAGUAUGGAUGAGAUAAGUGCUGAAAGCAUCUAAGUACGAAACUCGCCUCAAGAUGAGAUAUCUUUUAAGGGUCGUUGAAGACGACAACGUUGAUAGGCUAUAGGUGUAAAGACAGUGAUGUCAAAGCCAAGUAGUACUAAUUACCCGA